UCAGCCCCGCAGGCCCUGAAAUGAAGUGGCGGUCCCGCCGCGGCGCCCCCUGCGUAGUAAGUCUUUGCACCUCGCAUCGGGUCCCGGCGUAGGCCAGCCGUCGAACCUAUCUCUUGAUGGUUUGACCUCGGAUCAGGUAGGGUUACCCGCUGAACUUAAGCAUAUCAAUAAGCGGAGGAAAAGAAACCAACAGGGAUUGCCCCAGUAACGGCGAGUGAAGCGGCAACAGCUCAAAUUUGAAAUCUGGCCCCCCCGCGGGGUCCGAGUUGUAAUUUGAAGAGGAUGCUUCUGGCGAGGCGCCGUCCGAGUUCCCUGGAACGGGACGCCGCAGAGGGUGAGAGCCCCGUACGGUCGGACGCCGAGCCUAUGUGAAGCUCCUUCGACGAGUCGAGUAGUUUGGGAAUGCUGCUCAAAAUGGGAGGUAAACCCCUUCUAAAGCUAAAUACCGGCCAGAGACCGAUAGCGCACAAGUAGAGUGAUCGAAAGAUGAAAAGCACUUUGAAAAGAGAGUUAAAAAGCACGUGAAAUUGUUGAAAGGGAAGCGCUUGCGACCAGACUCGCGCCCGUCGGAUCAGCCGUCGCUCGUCGGCGGCGCACUCCGGCGGGCUCGGGCCAGC
rnacentral:rRNA from 1 species